UACGUAGGGGCCGAGCGUUGUCCGGAGUUAUUGGGCGUAAAGCGCGCGCAGGCGGCUUCGCGCGUCCGACGUGAAAGCCCCCGGCUCAACCGGGGAGGGUCGUUGGGUACGGCGGAGCUUGAGGGCGGUAGAGGUUGGUGGAAUUCCCGGUGUAGUGGUGAAAUGCGUAGAGAUCGGGAGGAACACCUGUGGCGAAGGCGGCCAACUGGGCCGACCCUGACGCUGAGGCGCGAAAGUGUGGGGGAGCGAACAGG
rnacentral:rRNA from 1 species